GUGAACGCUGGCGGUAGGCCUAACACAUGCAAGUCGCACGGCAGCACAGUAAGAGCUUGCUCUUACGGGUGGCGAGUGGCGGACGGGUGAGGAAUACAUCGGAAUCUACUUUUUCGUGGGGGAUAACGUAGGGAAACUUACGCUAAUACCGCAUACGACCUACGGGUGAAAGCAGGGGAUCUUCGGACCUUGCGCGAUUGAAUGAGCCGAUGUCGGAUUAGCUAGUUGGCGGGGUAAAGGCCCACCAAGGCGACGAUCCGUAGCUGGUCUGAGAGGAUGAUCAGCCACACUGGAACUGAGACACGGUCCAGACUCCUACGGGAGGCAGCAGUGGGGAAUAUUGGACAAUGGGCGCAAGCCUGAUCCAGCCAUACCGCGUGGGUGAAGAAGGCCUUCGGGUUGUAAAGCCCUUUUGUUGGGAAAGAAAAGCAGCAGGUUAAUACCCCGCUAUUCUGACGGUACCCAAAGAAUAAGCACCGGCUAACUUCGUG
rnacentral:rRNA from 1 species